GACGAACGCUGGCGGCGUGCCUAAUACAUGCAAGUUGAGCGCUGAAGGUUGGUACUUGUACCAACUGGAUGAGCAGCGAACGGGUGAGUAACGCGUGGGGAAUCUGCCUUUGAGCGGGGGACAACAUUUGGAAACGAAUGCUAAUACCGCAUAAAAACUUUAAACACAAGUUUUAAGUUUGAAAGAUGCAAUUGCAUCACUCAAAGAUGAUCCCGCGCUGUAUUAGCUAGUUGGUGAGGUAAAGGCUCACCAAGGCGAUGAUACAUAGCCGACCUGAGAGGGUGAUCGGCCACAUUGGGACUGAGACACGGCCCAAACUCCUACGGGAGGCAGCAGUAGGGAAUCUUCGGCAAUAGACGAAAGUCUGACCGAGCAACGCCGCGUGAGUGAAGAAGGUUUUCGGAUCGUAAAACUCUGUUGGUAGAGAAGAACGUUGGUGAGAGUGGAAAGCUCAUCAAGUGACGGUAACUACCCAGAAAGGGACGGCUAACUACGUG
rnacentral:rRNA from 1 species